rnacentral:lncRNA from 1 species
GGCUGGGUCCCCCUGGCCGAGCUUCCCCAGUGUUGUGUGUGACUGUGGAACAAAGCGGAGGGAGAGAGAGGAGGCAGGCAGGUCGUUCGCUGUUCGGACGACGACGCCUUCAGCUCCUAAAGCACGACCGAUGCACGACGACGUUAAACUGACUUGCGGGGAAACAUAGGAAGAACCGACCCCUCUUCUCUCUUCUUCUUCUCUUCUUUAUUCCCUCUUUGGAUGCAAUAAAGAGAAAAUAGUAAAGGUUUGUGUUAAAGGGAAAAAGGGCUAUUGUGAUAUUUCAAAAAUAUAUGUUGUUGGAAUAAUUAUGACUGAAUGGGACUGAAAAUCGAGGGACGAAGGUUAGAUAAAUGAUACAGAAAUCAAAGGGAAAUGUUUAUAUGUGAAAAUCAAAUGGAAAUGAUGUAAAGAAUACGAACCGAAUAGAAAAAAGAAGAAGGCGAUAGUGGGAGAAGAACGAAAAAUAACACACGCAAUAGAUGAUGAGAAAACGUCAUCUAUAAAUACGCGAGUCUGUCCUAAAGAAAACGGAGCGCAGGCAACAGUGUCAUAAUUACAAUCGGAAACUUUGGUCGAUCUUUCGAAAGAUUUUAUUUACAUUCAAGAAGGAGAGAAGACUUCCCCAGCCCUCGCCUGACCCUACCCCCUCUGUCCGGAACAGACCCUUUUAUUCUCUGUACCCUCUGUACCGUCGCCAUGACAGCUGGAGCGGACGCGAAAAAUAAGCGCGAUAGACGCAAGUCAGUCGCGCCCACGCAGAAGGAGAUGGAGGAGGAGUUCGCGGUCGCGACGCCCAACCAGAGAAACUGGAAGGGCAUCAUCAUCGCCGUGCUGGUCAUCUG